rnacentral:rRNA from 1 species
GAUGAACGCUGGCGGCGUGCCUAACACAUGCAAGUCGAGCGGCAGCGAGGGGUGCUUGCACCCUGUCGGCGAGCGGCGGACGGCUGAGUAACGCGUGGGAACGUGCCCCAAAGUGAGGAAUAACUGCCCGAAAGGGUAGCUAAUACCGCAUAUUAUCUUCGGAUCAAAGGAUUUAUCCGCUUUGGGAGCGGCUCGCGUCGGAUUAGGUAGUUGGUGAGGUAAUGGCUCACCAAGCCGACGAUCCGUAGCUGGUCUGGGAGGAUGACCAGCCAGACUGGAACUGAGACACGGUCCAGACUCCUACGGGAGGCAGCAGUGAGGAAUCUUCCACAAUGGGCGAAAGCCUGAUGGAGCAACGCCGCGUGCAGGACGAAGGCCUUCGGGUUGUAAACUGCUUUUAUAAGUGAGGAAUAUGACGGUAACUUAUGAAUAAGGAUCGGCUAACUACGUG